UACAGAGGGGGCAAGCGUUGUUCGGAAUUACUGGGCGUAAAGGGCGCGUAGGCGGCCUGUUAAGUCGAACGUGAAAUCCCUGGGCUCAACCCAGGAACUGCGUCCGAUACUGGCAGGCUUGAAUCCGGGAGAGGGAUGUGGAAUUCCAGGUGUAGCGGUGAAAUGCGUAGAUAUCUGGAGGAACACCGGUGGCGAAGGUGGCAUCCUGGACCGGUAUUGACGCUGAGGCGCGAAAGCCAGGGGAGCAAACGGG
rnacentral:rRNA from 1 species